GGACCCUUAGCUCAGUUGGUUAGAGCAACCGGCUCAUAACCGGUCUGUCUUGGGUUCGAGUCCCUGAGGGUCCA
rnacentral:tRNA from 1 species